CAGUAGCCGCGGUAAUACGAAGGGGGCUAGCGUUGCUCGGAAUCACUGGGCGUAAAGGGUGCGUAGGCGGGUCUUUAAGUCAGGGGUGAAAUCCUGGAGCUCAACUCCAGAACUGCCUUUGAUACUGAAGAUCUUGAGUUCGGGAGAGGUGAGUGGAACUGCGAGUGUAGAGGUGAAAUUCGUAGAUAUUCGCAAGAACACCAGUGGCGAAGGCGGCUCACUGGCCCGAUACUGACGCUGAGGCACGAAAGCGUGGGGAGCGAACAGGAUUAGAUACCCCAGUAGUCCCUGUCUCUUAUAC
rnacentral:rRNA from 1 species